GAUGAAGAACGUAGCGAAAUGCGAUACUUGGUGUGAAUUGCAGAAUCCCGUGAACCAUCGAGUCUUUGAACGCAAGUUGCGCCUGAAGCCAUCAGGUUGAGGGCACGUCUGCCUGGGCGUCACAUAUCGUUGCCCAAUGCCUAUUGCAGUGCAAUAGGAAUUUCUAGGGCGAAUGAUGGCUUCCCGUGAGCGUUGUUGCCUCGCGGUUGGUUGAAAAUCGAGUCCUUGGUAGGGUGUGCCAUGGUAGAUGGUGGUCGAGUUAGAACGAUACCGAUCAUGUGCAUGCUCCCCAAAAUAUGGCCUCUAUGACCCACACGCGUCUUUUGACGCUCAUGACGAGACCUCAGGUCAGGCGGGGCUACCCGCUGAAUUUAAGCAUAUCAAUAAGCGGAGGA
rnacentral:misc_RNA from 1 species